rnacentral:rRNA from 1 species
AGAGUUUGAUCCUGGCUCAGGAUGAACGCUAGCGGGAGGCUUAACACAUGCAAGUCGAGGGGUAACAUGAUCUUCGGAUUGAUGACUACCGGCGCACGGGUGAGUAACGCGUAUGCAACCUACCUACUACAGGGGAAUAGCCCAGAGAAAUUUGGAUUAAUGCCCCAUGGUACUAUUUUAUCGCAUGGUGAGAUAGUUAAAGAUUUAUCGGUAGUAGAUGGGCAUGCGUGACAUUAGAUUGUUGGUGAGGUAACGGCUCACCAAGUCUACGAUGUCUAGGGGUUCUGAGAGGAUGAUCCCCCACACUGGUACUGAGACACGGACCAGACUCCUACGGGAGGCAGCAGUGAGGAAUAUUGGUCAAUGGGCGCAAGCCCGAACCAGCCAUCCCGCGUGAAGGAUGACUGCCCUAUGGGUUGUAAACUUCUUUUAUGUGCCAAGAAUGUGACCUACGUGUAGGUUUUUGACGGUAGCACAUGAAUAAGCAUCGGCUAACUCCGUGCCAGCAGCCGCGGUAAUACGGAGGAUGCGAGCGUUAUCCGGAUUCAUUGGGUUUAAAGGGUACGUAGGCGGUCUAAUAAGUCAGUGGUGAAAUCCUGCGGCUCAACCGUAGAACUGCCAUUGAUACUGUUAGACUUGAAUAUAGUUGAGGUAGGCGGAAUGUGUUGUGUAGCGGUGAAAUGCUUAGAUAUAACACAGAACACCGAUUGCGAAGGCAGCUUACCAGACUAUCAUUGACGCUGAGGUACGAAAGCGUGGGGAGCGAACAGGAUUAGAUACCCUGGUAGUCCACGCUGUAAACGAUGUUCACUCGCUGUAUGCGAUACACAGUAUGCGGCCAAGCGAAAGCAUUAAGUGAACCACCUGGGGAGUACGUCGGCAACGGUGAAACUCAAAGGAAUUGACGGGGGCCCGCACAAGCGGAGGAACAUGUGGUUUAAUUCGAUGAUACGCAAGGAACCUUACCUGGGCUUAAAUGUAGGUUGCACGAUGUAGAAAUACACUUCCCUUCGGGGCUACCUACAAUGUGCUGCAUGGUUGUCGUCAGCUCGUGCCGUGAGGUGUCGGGUUAAGUCCCAUAACGAGCGCAACCCUUAUCGUUAGUUGCCAUCAGGUAAUGCUGGGGACUCUAGCGAGACUGCCACCGUAAGGUGAGAGGAAGGUGGGGAUGACGUCAAAUCAGCACGGCCCUUAUGUCCAGGGCUACACACGUGUUACAAUGGUCGGUACAAAGGGCAGCUACACAGCGAUGUGAUGCUAAUCUCUAAAGCCGGUCUCAGUUCGGAUCGGUGUCUGCAACUCGACUCCGUGAAGUUGGAUUCGCUAGUAAUCGGAUAUCAGCCAUGAUCCGGUGAAUACGUUCCCGGGCCUUGUACACACCGCCCGUCAAACCAUGGAAGCUGGGGGUGCCUGAAGUCUGUCACCGUAAGGAGCGGCCUAGGGUAAAACCGGUAACUGGGGUUAAGUCGUAACAAGGUA